ensembl:lncRNA
AUGGGGAAUUUGGGAAUUCUGGAUCCAGUUUUGGGGGAUUUUUGGGAAUUUUUGGUGUUUUUUGCUCCAUUUUUUGUGGAUUUUUGGGUGUUUUUUGCUCCAUUUUUUGGGAAUUUUUGUGAAUUUUUUGGGUUUCUGGCUCAAAUUUUUGGUGGAUUUUGGGGUUCUUGGAUCCAUUUUUUGGGAUUUUUUGGGAAUUUUGGGGUUUCUGACUCCAAUUUUUGGGGAAUUUUCGGGGAAUUUUCGGGGAAUUUUUGGGAAUUUUUGGGGAAUAUCCGAGGAAUUUUUGGCGAAUUUUUGGCGAAUUUUGGGGAAUUUUUGGGUUUCUGGCUCCGUUUUUUGGGGUUUUUUGGGAAUUUUGGGGUUUCUGGCUCCGUUUUUUGGGAAUUUUUGGGGUUUCUGACUCCGUUUUUUGGGAAUUUUGGGGUUUCUGACUCCAAUUUUUGGGAAUUUUGGGGUUUCUGGUUCCAUUUUUGGGGAAUUUUGGGGUUCUUGGAUCCAUUUUUGGGGGAUUUUUGGGAAUUUUGGGGGUUUUUUGCUCCGUUUUUUGUGGAUUUUUGGGAAUUUUUUGGGUUUUGGGAUCCAUUUUGGGGAGAUUUUUGGAAAUUUUGGGGUUUCUGGCUCCAAUUCUUGGGAUUUUUGGGGUUUCUGGCUCCGUUUUUUGGGGAUUUUCGCUGUUUCUGCCUCCGCUUUUUCAGGAAUUUCUCAGGAAUUCCUGGGAAUUUCGUGCCGGGGAUUUUUUUGGGAAUAACCCCUGGAAUGUCCCUUUUCAGCCGAUCUCCAGGAGGCUCCCCCGGGCUCUCCGGAGCCUCCGGAGCUGCGGCGGGAGCGGGAGCAGUUCCUGCGGCACCGGGAUCGGCCAUUCCCGACUUUCUGCCUCCGCUCCCGCAAAUCCGGGAUUGCCUGGAGCCCAAUGGGGGAAUUUGGGAAUUCUGGGAUUGCCUGGAGCCCAAUGGGGAAUUCCAGGAAUUUUGGAUCCAUUUUUGGGGAAUUUUUGGGGGAUUUUGGAUCCAUUUUUUGUGGAUUUUUUUGGGGAAUUUUUGGGGGAUUUUGGAUCCAUUUUUUGUGGAUUUUUGUGAAUUUUUUGGGUUUCUGGCUCAAAUUUUUGGGGAAUUUUGUGGUUUCUGACUCCGUUUUUUGGGAAUUUUGGGGUUUCUGGCUCCAUUUUUGGGAAUUUUUGGGGUUUUGGGAUCCAUUUUUGGGGGAUUUUCGGGAUUUUUUGGGUGUUUUUUGCUCCAUUUUUUGUGCAUUUUUGGAAAUUUUUGGGGUUUCUGGCUCCAAUUUUUGGGGUUUUUUGCUCCAUUUUUUGUGGUUUUUUGGGAAUUUUGGGGUUUCUGGCUCCAUUUUUUGGGAAUUUUGGGGUUUCUGGCUCCGUUUUUUGGGAAUUUUGUGGUUUCUGACUCCGUUUUUUGGGAAUUUUGUGGUUUCUGGCUCCAUUUUUGGGAAUUUUUGGGGUUUUGGGAUCCAUUUUUGGGGGAUUUUUGGGAACUUUGGGUGUUUUUUGCUCCAUUUUUUGUGGAUUUUUGGAAAUUUUUGGGGUUUCUGGCUCCAAUUUUUGGGAUUUUUUGGGUUCUUGGAUCCAUUUUUUGGGGAAUUUUUGGGGGAUUUUGGAUCCAUUUUUUGUGGAUUUUUGUGAAUUUUUUGGGUUUCUGGCUCAAAUUUUUGGGGAAUUUUGUGGUUUCUGACUCCGUUUUUUGGGAAUUUUGUGGUUUCUGGCUCCAUUUUUGGGAAUUUUUGGGGUUUUGGGAUCCAUUUUUGGGGGAUUUUUGGGAACUUUGGGUGUUUUUUGCUCCAUUUUUUGUGGAUUUUUGGAAAUUUUUGGGGUUUCUGGCUCCAAUUUUUGGGAUUUUUUGGGUUCUUGGAUCCAUUUUUUGGGGAAUUUUUGGGGAAUUUUUGGGUUUCUGGCUCCGUUUUUUGGGAAUUUUGGGGUUUCUGGUUCAAUUUUUGGGGAAUUUUGGGGUUCUUGGAUCCAUUUUUAGGGGAUUUUUGUGAAUUUUGGGGGUUUCUGGCUCCAAUUUUUGGGGAAUUUCGCUGUUUCUGGCUCCGUUUUUUGGGGAAUUUCUCAGGAAUUUUUAGGAAUUUCGGGACGGGGAUUUUUUUGGGAAUAACCCCUGGAAUUUCCCUUUGC